rnacentral:rRNA from 1 species
AUAGGAAAUUUAAGGGCGUAUAGUGAAUGCCUUGGUUCUUGAUGGCGACGAAAGACGUGAACUGCCUGCGAUAAGCUUCGGUGAGGUGGCAAUUAACCUGUGACCCGGAGAUCUCUGAAUGGGGAAACCCAUCCGUAUUUAAAUGACGGAUAUCCAUUGUAUGAUGGAAGCAAACCUAGGGAAGUGAAACAUCUCAGUACCUAGAGGAAAAGAAAACAAAUGUUAUUUCCUGAGUAGCGGCGAGCGAAACGGAAUCUAGCCCAAACCCGAAUAAGCUCGCUGUAGUUAAUAUAGCAAUAUAUUGAAUAUAGCGAGCUGAAUCGGGGGUUGUAGGACAUUGAAGUCGUAAAGACAAAAAGUUACAAAUUUUUUGCAUAGGUGAAACAUCUGGAAAGGUGUGACAAAGAGGGUGACAUCCCCGUAACCGAAAUGUGGAAAACUUUUACAAUGCUCCUGAGUACUUCGAGACAUGAAUAGCUCGAAGGAAUCUGCCGGAACUAACCGGUAAGGCUAAAUACAUCAAGAGACCGAUAGUGAACUAGUACCGUGAGGGAAAGGUGAAAAGAACCCCUGUGAGGGGAGUGAAAUAGAUCUGAAACCAUACGCCUACAAGGAGUCGGAGCGGUUGUUUACAACCGUCACGGCGUGCCUAUUGAAGAAUGAGCCAACGAGUGUAUGCAUGCGGCAGGCUAAGUGCUAUAAAAGCAUGGAGCCAUAGGGAAACCGAGUCUGAAUAGGGCGAAAUUAAUGUCGUACGCAUACGACCCGAAGCCAGGUGAGCUUACCAUGGGCAGGGUGAACCCCGUAGAAAUAUGGGGGGAGGCCCGAACCAGUUGGUCGUACGAUUCCUUUGGAUGACCUGUGGUAAGGAGUGAAAAGCUAAUCGAACCUGGUAAUAGCUGGUUCUCUCCGAAAUAUAUUUUGGUAUAGCGUUAUGUGUUCCCUCUGGGGGUAGAGCACUGGCUGGUUUGGACAGGGUGAAAGCUCGCCAAACCUAUCAACCUCCGAAUACCAGAUGGUAAAUAGCAUAGCAGUCAGACAGUGGGGGCGAAGCUCCACGAGUCGAAAGGGAAACAGCCCUGGAUCUCAAGUUAAGGUCCCUAAAUCUACAUUAAGUGCACUUAAGGAGGUGAAAUUUCUCCGACAAUGAGGAGGUUGGCUUAGAAGCAGCCAUCCUUUAAAGAAAGCGUAACAGCUCACUCAUCUAGAGAAUUCGCGCCGCAAAUAAUCGGGGCUAAAAUGUAGUACCGAAGCUGAGGGUUUGUGCAUUUCAUAGAGAAAGUAAAUCUAUGGCACAUGGUCAGGUAAUGAAGACAAGCAUCUUAGUGUCUAAAUAUGCAAAAUCAGCCGCAUAUUUAUUCAGCAUAUGCCCUUCAGAGCCCGACCUCCAUAGAAAUUCUCUAAUAACUUUUGAAGUUAUUUUUUCUAUGAAAUGCAUGAGCGGUAGGAGAGUAUUGUACUCUGCGAUGAAGCGGAAGGCGUGAGCCACCGUGGAGCGUGUACAAGUAAGAAUGUUGGCACAAGUAACCACAAGACGGGUGAAAUCCCCGUCCGCCGAAAGACUAAGGUUUCCGCUGCUAUGUCAAUCAACAGCGGGUUAGUCGGGCCUAAGGAGAUGGCGAUAGCCGCAUCCGAUGGACACAUGGUUAAUAUUCCAUGACUUUAUUGCAAGCGAUGGAGGGACGGAGAACAUAAUUCCCCACGCAUUAUUGGAUUUGACGCUCAUGCUCAUAGACAGGAUAUUUAGGAAAAUCCGGAUAUCACAUACUGUCGCAAGAGUGACGAUUGGAGCCCUCGGGCUCUGAAAGGGGGAAGAAGAGUCUUCCAAGAAAAUCUUCUAGCAUUCAAUUGCAAUGAAUCCGUACCGUAAACCGACACAGGUAGUCAGGUCGAGUAGACCAAGGCGAACGAGUGAGUGAUCCUCAAGGAACUCGGCAAAAAAGCAGCCGUAACUUUGGAAUAAGGCUUGCCCAUGUUUAACUACAUGGGCCGCAGCGAAAGUAUCUCUGGCGACUGUUUAUCAAAAACACAGCUCCCUGCGAAAUCGUAAGAUGAUGUAUAGGGGGUGACACCUGACCAAUGCCAGAAGGUUAAAUAUCGGUGGUGUACAACAUCCAGCGCGUGAUCAAUUGAUCGUGCAUUGAAUGUUGUAUGCUGGCUGAUAUAAGCCCUGGUGAAUGUCGGCCGUAACUAUAACGGUCCUAAGGUAGCGAAUUACCUUGUCGGGUAAAUUCCGACGCGCACGAAUGGUGUAACGACUGGAGAACUGUCUCGAGGAUUAGCUCGGUGAAAAUACAAUACCGGUGAAGAUGCCGGUUACCUGCAGUUAGACGAAAAGACCCCGGGAGCUUUACUAUAGCUUCACAUUGGGCAUAUUGGAAUUGUGCGUAGCAUAGGUGGGAGAGGUUAUGCGUAUGGUCUUGGCUAUACGAUACUCGUCAGUGAAAUACCACUCUCAAUUUUGAUAUGUCCUAACCUGGACGAAAAAACGUUCAGAGACAGUGUGUGGUGGGUAGUUUGUUUGGGGCGAAUCCCUCCUAAAUUGUAACGGAGGGGCCUAUAAAGGUCAGCUAGGCGUGAAUGGAAACCAUGCCGAUAGUGUAAUGGCACAAGCUGGCUUGACUGCAAGACGUACAUGUCGAGCAGGUGCGAAAGCAGAGCAUAGUGAACCGACCUAACGCUUUAGAUGCGUGGGAAGAUCAACGGAUAAAAGCUACCCCGGGGAUAACAGGCUAGUAUCGCCCGAGAGUUCAUAUCGACGGCGGUGUUCGGCACCUCGAUGUCGGCUCAUCUUAUCCUGGGGCUGGAGAAGGUCCCAAGGGUUUGGCUGUUCGCCAAUUAAAAAGAUACGCGAGCUGGGUUCAGACCGUUUAGGA